rnacentral:lncRNA from 1 species
UCAAAUCGAAUACAUAUCACAUACAGAUUUAAGGAUAAAGCAACAAAUCAAUCUAAUAAGGAGAUAAAUUGAUUGCAAACAUAAAUCAGUGAUGAACCAUCCAUGAACAUCAAAUUCAUAUCCAUAAAGAUCCGGAGCAGGACAAAUGAACCAGCAACCCAGAUCCAAUUACACGAAAUGACCGGCGAUGGACAUAACAGAACCAUCACUAGUUAAGAUGCCCCAUAAAAAUGGAAAUAUCCAUCUUUGUCAGACAGAUAGAUAACUAAAACAAGAACUGUUGCUUACUACCAUAAAAAUCCAAAUUCAAAACUAAAUCAAAACCAGAAGAGUAGGGCUUCAAACUUAUACCAAAUGAGUCAAACAACUAUAUAAUCAAAUAAACUUAUUUUGGGAAUUCGUAAAUAAUCUCCAAACAAGUAGUAUUAGUGAUACCAUUAUAAAAUUCAGGAGAAUCAUAGUCAUAACAAAAUGAAACAGAAACAAAUGCAAGCAUUAUGAACGGAUGGCCAUAGUGAAUUCUCUGAACUUGUUUUGCUCUCUUUCUUCUCUAUCUUUGGGUCUCCAGUCUCCAUUGUUGCUCUGAUGAUGUGGUCGGUGGAAGUAGGGAUCCAUCGGAGAACGGAUGGCCAUAGUGACGAAGAUUUAUUCUUCAGCCCUGCAUGCUUUUGUUGAUGUAGUAGAGGCGGAGCUAAUUUGUUCCGCGCGCCAUCGAUCGUCGCCAAUGCAAUAAUAAGUUAAAGUUAGAUUUACUCGACCGGGCGAUCGAAGAAGUAUAAUACUAUUACCUGGAGUAUUCAACUAGAAUUCAGCUGCGUUUGUAGUGACGUAAGUAGCGGGACUCCAUUAGUCCUUUUCUUUUCAUUUUAUUUUAUUUCUACACUUUAGGAGGGAAGCAAGAAGAGGAA